AAAGUCGUAACAAGGUUUCCGUAGGUGAACCUGCGGAAGGAUCAUUAUAAAGUAUAACGUGUCCUUUUUUUUCUCCUUUUACGAGGGGGGAACAAGGGCAUUAUUAACACUUGUGAAUUGGGGGUGGAUAACUCUGCCCCGGUAUUUUUGUAUUUUUUGAUUUUUUUCCUUUAAACGAAAAAAAAAGACAACUUUCAGCAAUGGAUCUCUUGGCUCUU
rnacentral:misc_RNA from 1 species